rnacentral:rRNA from 2 species
CCUACGGGAGGCAGCAGUGGGGAAUUUUCCGCAAUGGGCGAAAGCCUGACGGAGCAAUACCGCGUGAGGGAAGACGGCCUAUGGGUUGUAAACCUCUUUUUUCAGGGAGGAAUUUUGACGUGUACCUGAAGAAUAAGCAUCGGCUAACUCCGUGCCAGCAGCCGCGGUAAGACGGAGGAUGCAAGUGUUAUCCGGAAUCACUGGGCGUAAAGCGUCUGUAGGUGGUUAAGCAAGUCAACUGUUAAAUCUUGAGGCUCAACUUCAAAAUCGCAGUCGAAACUGUUUGACUAGAGUAUAGUAGGGGUAAAGGGAAUUUCCAGUGGAGCGGUGAAAUGCGUAGAUAUUGGAAAGAACACCGAUGGCGAAGGCACUUUACUGGGCUAUUACUGACACUCAGAGACGAAAGCUAGGGUAGCAAAUGGGAUUAGAUACCCCAGUAGUCCUAGCCGUAAACAAUGGAUACUAGAUGUUGAACAGAUCGACCUGUGCAGUAUCAAAGCUAACGCGUUAAGUAUCCCGCCUGGGAAGUAUGCUCGCAAGAGUGAAACUCAAAGGAAUUGACGG